rnacentral:lncRNA from 1 species
AAAUAAUAACGCCAAAUGUGUGUAUCCUAAUUCAGUAUUUGUCAGCAGCUGUCUUUAUUUAUAUCUUAGAGUUUCAUUUGUGCUUAAAGAAAUUUAUUGUGAUGGCCGAUCUUUUAUACAUACUUCACAAUUUAUUCCAUAGUAUAAUUUUUAAUUUUGGGCGCAACUUAGAACCAUAUAUAAUAAUAUAUAACUUAUUUAAAGUAAAGACCGCAUACUAUCCUUUCAGUCACUUUUUUUUCUUUGAAUUACUGUUUCAUUUGCGCAUGCCAACAUCUCACUGUAUAUUUUUUAAAGACCUUAGAUGGAUUCCAAAUAAACAAACAAUUUAGGUACAAGGACAUAGUAGAUCAACAACCUUUAUUUGCGUUAUGAACGUGAAAACCUUCUUUUUUUUUUAUAUUGUGAUUUUUAAUCAAGAAAUGACUUUUUAAUGUCGUGCUACAUUAUAUAUUUAUUAUGAUUCAAUCAAUGGAUAUAUUGAAUAUUUUUACACUAUAAAACUACAACACGUAAGAAUGUAGACCUUGAUAUUUUUUAAUGUGUCUAAAAACAAGCAAUUUUAAAAACAUAAUGCAUGAAAAUAAUGUAUUUAAACCGAAAGAGCAUAGAUUUUAUGAAACCUUAGAAACAUAUGGCAUUGUAAGUUGCAAACGUGGUGAAAUUGCAUCUUACAUAUACUAAUGCACCGUAUAAACUGGUACAUGUAUAAUGUUUAACUUUAAUUCGUGUUCAUGGGGUAAAAAUUUCUUUUGAUUUUGAUUUAAAUGGUACGCAUGGUGUUGGGUCUCAUUUGGUUAUUUCACAAUCGGGAGUUACAUGUAUAUAAUACAUUUGUAGGCUCUGCUGAAAUGUAGCUACAUAGAAAUGGAAAGUUAACGUUAAAGAAAUAACAAAAGCACUGGCCCCAUGGUACUCCUUAGGUGGGGGGGGGGGGUCUCAAUCUGGCGAUAAUAUUUUUGGUCCCUUAUUCUCAGGUUUUUAUUGUGCAUUUUUUUUUUUACUGUAUAAACCCUAUCCCAUAGAACUUGGUGCAUUGAUGACAUUUGCUUUAGUUAAAACAAUGUUAUUUAUUCAAUCACAAAAAAAGAAUGGAAACAUUUUGUGAUUUUUAUUAUUAAACAAUGAUAAUAUCUGAUGAGCUCACGAAAGUUAUAGGUGCAUGUUUGUUUUGUUUUUUUUGACAUCCUACAAAUUGGCGGUAAGUCUAUAUGUAUUGCUUUAUAGUGCUAAAAAAAUCACGAAAUGAACAAACCCUUUCACACAUUUUUAUAGCCGCCAUGUGGUUGAAAGAUUUUGUUUAGAUAAUUGAGUAUGGGCCUAGAUGAACGCUUCUACCAUGUACGCUCCCUCCGAGUGCAUAUGAGACAGGGGCUACUUACAUAACUUUCUAAGGUUAUAUGAUGUGUUUGUGUUUUAUUUCAUUCCGAUUUAUUAUAGUUGGGACAUUUUAUUGUGCAAGUUCACUUGACUUUUCAGCCCCAAUGUCAUGUGACUUGUUAUGCGCUCAUCUCUCGCUUCGAUCAAACUUUUAGCAUCACCCAAGUGCAUCAAGUGUGGUAAAUUUGGCAUUUAACGUUAACUAUUACGUAUAACUGGUAAAUGAUUUUGG